AGAAUCAACGCUGGCGGCGUGCCUAACACAUGCAAGUCGAACGAGAAAGUGGAGCAAUCCAUGAGUAAAGUGGCGACCGGGUGAGUAACACGUGACUAACCUACCUUCGAGUGGGGGAUAACCUCGGGAAACCGGGGCUAAUACCGCAUAAUAUCCACGGAUCAAAGGAGCAAUUCGCUUGAAGAGGGGGUCGCGGCUGAUUAGUUAGUUGGCGGGGUAAUGGCCCACCAAGACAAUGAUCGGUAGCCGGCCUGAGAGGGCGCACGGCCACACCUGGAACUGAAACACGGUCCAGACUCCUACGGGAGGCAGCAGUGGGGAAUUUUGCGCAAUGGGGGAAACCCUGACGCAGCAACGCCGCGUGGAGGAUGAAGUCCCUUGGGACGUAAACUCCUUUCGACUGGGAAGAUAAUGACGGUACCAGUGGAAGAAGCCCCGGCUAACUUCGUGCCAGCAGCCGC
rnacentral:rRNA from 1 species